UACGUAGGUGGCAAGCGUUGUCCGGAUUCACUGGGCGUAAAGCGCGCGCAGGCGGUCUUCUACGUCUGGGGUGAAAACCCGGGGCUCAACCCCGGGACUGCCUUGGAUACGGGAAGACUUGAGGAUCGGAGAGGCAAGGGGAAUUCCACGUGUAGCGGUGAAAUGCGUAGAGAUGUGGAGGAACACCUGUGGCGAAGGCGCCUUGCUGGCCGAUUUCUGACGCUGAGGCGCGAAAGCGUGGGGGAGCAAACAGG
rnacentral:rRNA from 1 species